rnacentral:rRNA from 1 species
UACGUAGGUGGCAAGCGUUUGUCCGGAUUUACUGGGCGUAAAGAGCGCGCAGGCGGUCGAAUAAGUCGAAUGUGAAAGCCCCGGCUUAACUGGGGAGGGUCAUUCGAUACUGCUCGACUUGAAGGCAGGAGAGGGUAGUGGAAUUCCCGGUGUAGUGGUGAAAUGCGUAGAUAUCGGGAGGAACACCAGUGGCGAAGGCGACUACCUGGCCUGUUCUUGACGCUGAGGCGCGAAAGCUGGGGGAGCAAACGGGG